GUGGUUUAAUUCGAAGCAACGCGCAGAACCUUACCAGUCCUUGACAUGGGGAGUUUGGUUUCCGGAGACGGAUUCCUUCAGUUCGGCUGGCUCCCACACAGGUGCUGCAUGGCUGUCGUCAGCUCGUGUCGUGAGAUGUUCGGUUAAGUCCGGCAACGAGCGCAACCCACAUCCUUAGUUGCCAGCAGUUCGGCUGGGCACUCUAGGGAAACUGCCCGUGAUAAGCGGGAGGAAGGUGUGGAUGACGUCAAGUCCUCAUGGCCCUUACGGGUUGGGCUACACACGUGCUACAAUGGCAUCUACAGUGGGCAGCUAUCACGCGAGUGUGAGCUAAUCUCCAAAAGAUGUCUCAGUUCGGAUUGUUCUCUGCAACUCGAGAGCAUGAAGGCGGAAUCGCUAGUAAUCGCGGAUCAGCAUGCCGCGGUGAAUACGUUCCCAGGCCUUGUACACACCGCCCGUCACACCAUGGGAGUGGGUUGCAAAAGAAGUGGGUAGCAUAACCUUCGGGAGUGCGCUCACCACUUUGUGAUUCAUGACUGGGGUGAAGUCGGAACAAGGUAGCCGUAGGGGGACCUGCGGCUGGAUCACC
rnacentral:rRNA from 1 species